rnacentral:tRNA from 1 species
GAAGGUAUAUCUCAGUGGUAGAGUGGGUGCUUAGUAUGCAUGAGGUAAGGUCCUGGGUUCAAUCCCCAGAACCUCCA